UGGCUGGUUUACUAGUCCGAAUUGUAGUUUAAAGAAGCGUUUUCGGUGGCAGCCUGGGUAUAAAUCCUUUGGAAUAGGGUAUCAUAGAGGGUGAGAAUCCCGUCUUUGACUCAGUGAAUGCUACUAUGUGAUACGUUUUCAAAGAGUCGAGUUGUUUGGGAAUGCAGCUCAAAAUGGGUGGUAAAUUUCAUCUAAAGCUAAAUAUUGGCGAGAGACCGAUAGCGAACAAGUACCGUGAGGGAAAGAUGAAAAGAACUUUGAAAAGAGAGUUAAACAGUACGUGAAAUUGUUGAAAGGGAAACGUUUGACACCAGUCAUGCGGGUGGAAAAUCAGUCUUUUAGAGUAGGGAGUGGUGGGGGUUCGGACCGCAAGGCUGGCCUUUAUCUCAUCUCUGCGCUAAUGGAUGCACUUUUUCAUUUGCAGGUCAACAUCAGUUUCUUCUGCUGGACAAAACUCCGAGAGAAGGUAGCAGCUUAGGCUGUGUUAUAGCUCUGGAGCGAUACAGUGGAGGGGACUGAGGUUUUCGCAGUGUGUGCUUUCGGGCAAGGUUGAUUGGGUGCUAUGUGAUCGUUCGGUGUACAAUGCAUGCAUUUUGCGCUGUGUCUUUUGCAUACUCGCCUGACUCGACUCUUCCACGCUUAGGAUGUUGACUUAAUGGUUUUAAACGACCCGUCUUGAAACACGGACCAAGGAGUCUAACAUGUAUGCAAGUGUUUGGGUGGCAAACCCAUACGCGUAAUGAAAGUGAACGUAGGUGCGAUCCGCAAGGUGCAGCAUCGACCGAUCUUGAUAUUUUUGGAUAGAUUUGAGUAAGAGCAUAUAUGCUGGGACCCGAAA
rnacentral:rRNA from 1 species